UACAGAGGGUGCAAGCGUUAAUCGGAAUUACUGGGCGUAAAGCGUGCGUAGACGGUAGCGUAAGUCGGGUGUGAAAGCCCCGGGCUCAACCUGGGAAUUGCAUUCGAGACUGCUCUGCUAGGGUGCGGAAGAGGGAAGCGGAAUUUCCGAGUGUAGCGGUGAAAUGCGUAGAUAUCGGAAGGAACACCAGUGGCGAAAGCGGCUUCCUGGUCCAGCACCGACGUUCAGGCACGAAGCGUGGGAGCAAACAGG
rnacentral:rRNA from 1 species